GGGGAAUAUUGCGCAAUGGGGGAAACCCUGACGCAGCAACGCCGCGUGCGGGAUGAAGGCCUUCGGGUUGUAAACCGCUUUCAGCAGGGACGAAGGGUUUCUGACGGUACCUGCAGAAGAAGCACCGGCUAACUACGUGCCUGCAGCCGCGGUGAUACGUAGGGUGCGAGCGUUGUCCGGAAUUAUUGGGCGUAAAGCGUGCGUAGGUGGUGGUUUAAGUCCGUUGUGAAAACUCAGGGCUUAACCCUGAGCCUGCUUUCGAUACGGGCAGACUUGAGGGAUGUAGGGGAGAACGGAAUUCCUGGUGGAGCGGUGGAAUGCGCAGAUAUCAGGAGGAACACCAGUGGCGAAGGCGGUUCUCUGGACAUUUCCUGACGCUGAGAAGCGAAAGCGUGGGGAGCAAACA
rnacentral:rRNA from 1 species